CCUGCGGAUAAUACACACGUGAAUUGUUGCUUGAUACUGGACAAUACUUUCAUAGUUGUUUGGAGGUUUGCCAACGCCUCAUUUAUUGAAAUCGUGUUACAGAGCAGUUUGAACUUUGGUGAACGAAAGAUUUUUUCUCAUCAAAAUUUGUGAACAAUUCUCUAUGAAACAGUUUUCAGGAGAUUUUUUCGAAUUAUAAAUUAAAGUUGAUAUCGUAGGGAGAAAUGGUGUAAAGUACAGUGGAUGAGCAUCGAUGUUUUCAAUAUGAACAGCGGUCUCUACAUAACGAAACAAUUUGUGAAAAUUCUCUAGUGGCCGAAUAAACUAAAUUGCUAUUUCCUUCACCAUGAUUCAUCGUUUUUACUGGAGCGUACUUUCAACUCUCAGCUCGGAAGAUUAAAAGAGAAACAGGGUUUCAGAGCUUUUGUCACAAGGAUCGUCGUUCCCACGAGAAUCCAUAGAACUUUGCCGAGAACGUUGGUGGCAAGUGCUGAAUUCGUCAGUUACCUCGAAUCGUGGCAUCGCAUCAUAAAUUUAUAAGCUUCCAAUAGACUUUAUUCCUGAGCCAUGUUACUUUUAAACUGAUCCUGUAUUCUUCAAUAAAAAAAACUCAAAACUUUCAAUAACUCUACCCAAUUUAUUGAGAAAUUCAAGUUUAAUUAAACUUGGUAAAGUAUUUUUGACAUUGCUUUAGCAAAGGUCCGAAGUAUAUGAAUAUUAUUUAACGAAAAAGCACAUUCAAUGAAAUUCAUAAUUUGUAUAAAACGCCAAGUAAUAAAAACACUAGUGAACGAGGUUGUUGACGGUUCCUAUAACCUGUCCAAAAUUCAAAAUAGAAAGUACUGAAAAA